AUUGUCGCGACCUCGAAUCUUUGGAUCGCCUGGAGUCAACCAAGUAAAAGGAGGGGCCUCGAUUCACUAAUCACACCACAAUCCUGUAUGGCAGCCCCAGUUCUUCGGAGGAAUUGUGUACUGCGCUCCGAUUUACUUCCGAUUACAUUUCCUCGUAUUAAAUUGUUACAAUUUGCCGCUAACAAUAUGCCUUACGAAUUUGUGUUGUCAACAAUGGGAACAGAACACCCAGAUGCAUUGUGGCCAAGUGACAAAUGGGGUUUGGUCUCUUUUCGGUAAGAUCAAGCGAUCAAAACACACAACACAAAUAGGAGAAAAAAAGGGCCAAAUGGAGGAGGGUUGGGCUGCCGAAAGAAUUGCAUUAUCGUUUGUUUAGUGACUCCGUGUGCGCACUGCGCACCAUGGGAUGUCGAUGCCCAUACCGACGUGGAACAGUGUCCUUGCUGCGGCUGAUAAUGUCAUUACCUGGGCACAGACGACGCAGACGCAAGAGCAAAUGAAAGCCAAGCCUGCCUUGCCCUGGUCACCGCAUGACGUCACCAGGGCCUGUGUGUGUUUUUUGUUUUUGUUUUUUGGGUCGCGUCGCAAACAUAAAGCGACAAAUUGACGCAAAACAUUUAACACACGGGCAGGACAGGACCCCGGACAUGGUCAAACAUGGUCCAUUGCCUUCGGUGGAGGUGGAGGAGGAUGGGACCAAAAGCAACAACUGCAGCGUUGGCGGCUUCCUCUCUAUGAGGCAUGGCCCGGCAUGGAAAAAAUUCCUUUGAAUUACGUCCGUUGCAGCAGAACCGCCACCACACCGCACACACAUGUGUGUGUGUGUGUGUGUGUGUCAGCUCUUGGCAAUGCGCAAAAAGGACAUCUCCGCCGGCGGUGGUGCCAGCUCAUAGCCUGCAUCCGUGUUGGUGGCCAGGCGGCAUCGGGCAGCGAAGCGGUGAGGCAUUGUAUGCCACUCUAUUAUGCAUUUCGUAGCUCCUACUGGCUCCGCCGUGUUGACAUUUUUAUUCCAAACAGUUGAGCAAUAUUUAUAAACUGAAGUCUGGCAAAAGUGGAAUUCAAAAGAGGGAGUUGCAGCCGCCUGGAGAGCAGUGGCAGUCGAAAUGGGAGAGCUCCUCCACAUUCUUUUGGCGCUCAUGUAAUCUUCCAUUUGAUUAACAUUUGUUUUUCAUCUUGCCUGCAGGCCAUGGCCAAGCGGCUAAGCUCAUUUCAUGGAUGCGGAUGGAUGGGAUUUGUUUGUCGGCACAGGCAAAAACAACACCUUGAAGCCCUGCGCAACCACUGACCGGCCAACGGAUCAUCUAAUUGAAUGACAAUAUUAUGCCAAGGCCUAAUUCAAUUUGCAUUUAGCUGGAGGGCAGCCGCAACGCAACGCGAAAACAGUUGCUUAAAUCUUAAACAAACACAGCAAUUACAGCAGAACGGAUGCACUUGCUGCCUGGACCUAUGCCUGCACCUCUACUGCUGGGGUUUUCGUCUAGCCAAAUGACUGCGACGAGGACUCUCCCUGGGACCCUGUAAUUAGUUCUGGGAUGAAACGAGAUGAGAAACGAGAGGAUGAGGUAUACGCCUCGGCCCUCUGACCUUUGUCGGCCUCAUCGGGGGUCCGGUUGCGCUGCCUAAUUACAGGGUAAUCAGGCUUUCAGCCGCUUUGGCUUUGGCGCUACCGUUUUGUGGGGGGCCUCAGCUAGAUGAUGAUUGAUUAGUGGCAUGGCGUGGCAUGGCCAUUCCCUAAGCUUAAGACUGUAAGAAUCUACCUCACAUCAGUGGCGUGGAUUGACAUCUGCCAGUAAAGUGCAUGGAAGGGAGCGCGUGCCAGCGGCAGCAACAAAGCAGCAAAAAGAAUGGAAAAGGAAAAAGUGCAAACAAGCAGCUGAAAGGCCAAAAGAGAGGAGCACUGAAAUGGAUAUGGAAAACAGCGAUAAGCGACAGAAAAAGCAAAUCGAAAACUGAUUUGGAGCGGAAGUUCGUUUGCACCUUUCCCAGCAGCAGCAGCAGCGGCAGCAGUUUCCUGUAUUUGCGAUGUCAAGAACAAUAAGAACACACACAACACACAGCGAAAAAGAGGGAGUACGAGUAAAAGUACGCACUGCCAAGACGUUAAGAAAUAAUCCAUGAAUCAGUGGAAAAUGUUCCAUCGGUACGUUCCACCUUGACGUUUUGGCCUUUGACGCCGUCUUUUGUCUUGAGAAUUGGAGUGCACACACAGUCACCGCCCGUUGGCUUUUGUAUUGCAAAAUCAAAAGCUGUACAUGCGACUCCAUUGCAUUGCCAUAUAUAGAUUAAGGAUAUGCUUUGCCUUGCCUUGCCUUGCCUGGCGUAUGUGUAUGCAAAGGAGCAAGGAGCAGCUGUCGUCUCCUUCUGUAUUUGAUUUGCGAUUUCUGAGGCAAGCGGAAAUGGAAUGACACGCGAGGCACUCCAGCACAGUCACUCCUCUCACAUUGUUUGGCAGCAGAUUGGCAAAAAUGGAGGCAAACGAACCUAAAAGAGAGCCAAACGAGCGAGUGAGCCGAGGCGAGCGAGGAGGCUUCCUGCCUUCCACUUGAGCCAUACGCAUUGUUUGACUGCGCUGUUCGAACUAGGACGUACCCGCGCGUACCUUUGAAGGGGCGUGCCGCCAAAUGGAGGAAGCAUAUGCCUCGAAAUCGGAUAUUGCUCUAAACAAUCCACAAAACACAACAAAAAACACAAACCAAACACAUUUCUAGACCCAAAGGCAGACUUUUCCAACCCACUGAGCAGCCGAAAUCUGACGAUUUCAGCUGCCACUGCCAUGGAGUAGGAGUAGGAGUGGAAGAGUAGGUGUAAACCUGAGCAACGCGUGUCCUAGGCUUAGAGAGGAGGAUGGCCACAGCUACGACCGUGGACUGAUGUCUCAUUAGCGUAUGGAUCGGGUCACAGGUUAAUGAUGUGCGCACCCCGUGCCUGCGCUUCCGCCUCGGACACAACACAAUUAUUCGAGGCACUUGAGCGAAGAACGCGGAAUGCAACAGCAGAAGCGGCAGCAGCAGUGGCACCUCCGAUGUAACUUCUUCUAAUUCAUUGACCCCUCGGCCAACCUCUGAAGCUGCUCCGCUCGGGGUUUUUCGGUGUUUUUUUAUGACGCUGUCGUAAAUGUCACAGGGGUUGCAAGGUGAGCGAGGAGAACAAAUGAAACUUAAUUUGAUUUCAAACCCCCCCAGGGAAAGUGUGUUGCGGACGAUGAUUCUCCUCACAGAGCCGAUUUCGAACACACACAGACAGACACUUCCAAAAACGAAACGCAAAAUUCGAUUUCCUGAAAAUGUUUUGAAGAUAAAUUGUCGUCGGUUAUGUGGCCGGGGAUUACAUAAACUCUCGCAUUCGCGGACAAACACCUGCAGCCUGGAUGGACGCUGCUUGGCGAACGGAAGAACCCAACGGGACGGGACUCACGUGCAAAAAUAAAAUGCAAAAAUGAUCAUUUCGAGAUAUGCGAAACGGGACAUGAACGCCGCUACGCUACGCCACGCCGCAGGAUACCAAACAGUGGAGGAAAUGCUGUCUACAUGGUCGUUCAUCCUCUCCUUUUUUUGGCUUGAAUUUCGGGACGAUACCAAAAAAUAUUGCAUUGAGAGGCAAUGGGCAGGCGUGGAUGUGGAGGAGGAGGAGCAGUUGCAGUUGCAUGGCCGCCCCAAAAGUUCGGCUCCUGGGGUUUUGGUCCAUUUCGGGUGCACGUCGUUAUCCUUGCCCCCGGAUGCACAACAAUCAAAAUAAACGGCUGCCAAAUUGACCAUUGACCAAACAACGUCAGCAGCAAGAGGUGGCCAAAAUGAGAGCAGAAAUGGCACGAUGAAGGAGUAGAGCCCAAUGCCCCAAUGGAGGAGUAGAGCCCAAUGGCCCGAUGAAGCAGCAGAAGCAGAGCGGCAAGCACCAAUGUCAAUAGAGGAGGCGAGAGGACAGCUGAAUGCCGAGUGGGGAAGCAAGCGAACUCAAUGUCCGAUGGAGCAGCAGCAGAAGGACGACAACUCACUGCUGAAUGCUGAAGGAUGUGUGUGGGAGUGGAAACUCCCACGUCACGCCCACUCCAGCGACAACUCACGGUUCAAGCAGCCAUCAAAGUUGUUUUUGGCAUCCGCCAAAGAAGAGAAUCCAAUUGAUGGAAACCUCAAAGCGAUUAAACGCGCUAGCUGCAGUCGUUUUCUACGGAUUAUUUCGAUUGUUCAAGGACUUAAAGGUGCAGCAGUGAAUGGCAGACUACUUUGAGGGAUAAGGAAUACCCAGGAACAUGGCUCAUAAGAUUUCCUACAAUCUAGAUCAUAAUUUUCCCCUAUCCAACAGCUCUCAUUCAUAAUUAACCAGAAAUGUUUGCCACUCGCGCCCGUCUGCCUCCAACCCCAACCCCAGCACAUCGAUUUGCGCGAUUUUAUUGCAGAAUAAUGAAAUCGCCAAGAGAUUCCAAUUCAAUCUACGCGCCGCGUAGGCCAUUUAUGGAUUGGCAUUGAUUUAAUACCGCAUCGUCUGCGUCGUCGUAGCGGCCGUCGCCAUCUCUCUACGAUCGCCUCCAGGUUUUGCUGCCAGGCGUCCCCUGAGCCCAAGGCGCAAGGCAUUUUGCACCUACCAAACAGAAGUAGAAGGAGCAGCCAGCAGCCAACAGCGGACUCCAAAGUCCGAAUUUGAUCUGAUUCUAGCCGCCUAUCGAAGCUGGAGAUCAACAGAAAGGAGCAGCAGCAGACGCCACCGCGGCGGAGGAUGGAUGGAGCUCCACUCGCGAAUGUAUAUUCAAUAAACUCGAUCUUCGAUGUAGCAGCAGUAGCAGCAGCAGCUGUGCUGACUGCCUGGCUGGCUGACUGUGCAUUCCAGCACAGAGGAGAACCACUCUCGACACAACUGUGGACUGUGGCCCCCAUUCAAGACAAGCCGCUGGAAUUUCUUGGUGCGUGCUCGGCACAGGUUCGGUCUCGGGUUCAGUUCAGGUUCAGGUUCAGCUGGUUAGCUUUGGCGUCUGCCAGCUGCGUCUCCUGAUUAUGAUAAUGGGGAGAGACCAGGCCAGGCCAGGCCAUUCCGAACCGGGGGCCGGGUAUAUGAUCGAAUGAUCGAAUGCUUGGCAGCUCCGUUGACUUUCUGAUUAAUGCAAGAAUGCUCCUUGGCGGCGUUCUUGCUUUUUGCUGACUGAUUCUUUCCGACUGCAAUUAAAAGUGUUGUUUACCCUUUAGCCAGGGACGAGGACAAGGACGGAACAAGGCAUCAAUUAGACGCUGAACAGAGGCCUCAAUGAAUGUCAAAGUGGAGCAAUUACUUUGCUCAAAGAGCAUCCGCAAGUCGUUGUGGUAGUGACCAGCACACUCAUCAGAUUGAUUCUUGACCGGCUGCCGGUAGUCUCCUGCUGUGUGUCUGAUGCCAGAUGCGGCCCCGUCCAGCCAGUCCCGGCAGCGGCAGUCGCCUCGUGCCUACCAGUUGUCAUAACGUUCAACACAUAUCUGCUGCCCCCUCGGUGGCGUCGUCGCCUGCGUCUUCGUCGUCGCCAUCACUGUGGUCAUCAUCGGUGUGGUGCUCAGGGCUCUCUGCGCUGCCAUAAAAGGAUUUGUCACGUGCGAGCUUUUGUUAAAAAUGCAACAAUCAUCAUCAUCGGAGGGCAAUCUCCAUUGCAGCAGCAACAGGAGCAGGAGGAGCAGCGGUGGCUCCCUGCAUUAUGCAUGUCGCAUUGCCGGAGCAGACAUCGUUCGGAGCAUUCCUUCGCUUGAAGGCAGGUCCUGGUCCAUAUGGCCAACGCCAGUCCCCCCACCAUCCACAGCAGAUCAUUGAAAUUUAUAAUUAAGUGGAAAUAUGUUGUCUACGAAGUAAAGAUUGCAGCAAGGAUCUUCAGAUUGAUGCUAAAGAUAUGAAUGGCACAGACAAAGGGCAGCAGCAGCAACAGCCGAGGAGUGGGUCCCACAAUUGGAAUAACAAAUGCAUUAGCAGUGACCAAACAAGGACCUAAUAAUGUACUCACAGGGGAUGUGCAUUGUGUAAAGAAUGGGCGCACCAUGGUACGAGCUCAUCCACAAUUACCGUUAGACUGAAGCACACACACACACACAGAGAGAGAUAGAGAGAGACGAGGCAGAGAACACAAAGAUAGAAGGCAAAUAAAGACAGUGUCCUGCUGCUGCUGUUGCUGCUGCUCCUGCUGCUGAUGGCCAUGGCUAAUUCAUGACUUUGACGACACUUUGGGCAAACAAUUGUCUAAAGACGAAGAAGAAGCAAGAGAAACACUCAGGAAUUGAUUAUGCAUGGAGUGUGUGUGUCGUUCUGUCUAUCUGUCUGUCCUCAUGUGUGCAUGCCAAUCAACUGGAGAAUCAAUCAAAAUGCAAUAGUACGUACGAUUGCCAAUCAAAGCUAAAUCCAAAGAAGAAGUCACUCCUGCAGAGGUGGCAAGCAGCUGCAGUCGAGCUUAAAAUGGAUAGCCAGGACCCACUCGGACUAUACACUCUUUUUCGAACAAGGGCAGCCAACCAAUGUAAGUAAGAACCACAUCAGGACAAACAGCAGGAGCAGCAGCAGAGCCACAGACACACGACGACGACGACCAGGCAAACAAUCAAAUGUCCAACCAGGCGUGACGCUCGGCCCUGAAGGAGCAGCAGAGCCAGUGGCAGAGGCAGAGCCAAAGCCAGCGUCUAUUUGCCGAGCGUACUUUUUGCAUUUGCCAAACAAGAGUGUGUGGUGUGCUGUGCUGUGGUACCCUUCCUUUUGCACUCUGUUUGAACAAGAGCCCAUACCGAGUGUACCGAGGUCCGAGGCGGUGCACAUACUUUGCACCUGUGUUUGCACCUAAAUCGAGUUUGAGGCCCAACACACAUGGCCGUAAAUCGUAGAUGGAGGAGGAACACUCACCACAUUCACAAAGUCCUGGAACGUUACAUAGCCCGGACCAGUGGGCACUUGGGCCUUCUUAGCUCGCUCCAGCAACAGCUCCCGCUUGUUCAUAGGCACUUGGGAUAGAAACUCCGGCGAUGUGAGGGCCGAUAGGAAUUCUGUGACGCAAAUUUCACCAAAACCUUCAGGAUCGAACUGGAAAUUAAGAAAGAAUUUGGUUAUGGGUUGAUCUAGUAGCGAGGAUUGCUUUUAAUUACCAUAUCAAAGAGGAGUUUCCAUUUCUGUGGGAGAUAAAAGAGAUGUUCUAGAAUUAGCAGAGGGUUUUUUGGUAUAAUUCCCAUAAAAACUCACAUCUCUCAGCAAUUCCCUGCGCAGUUCAGCCUCAUCAAAGUCAGAGUUUAGGGAGGCACUUACAUAUCUCAUUUGUGUAUGCGAUAUGGAUCCAAUGGAGGCCAGCGAGCCAGCUAUGGUGGAUAUAUGCUCGAUAUCGGCC